rnacentral:rRNA from 1 species
UGUAGUGGGUGAAAUGCGUAGAUAUCGGGGAGGAACACCAGGUGGGCGAAAGCGGGCCUCCUGGACUGUUUCUGACACUCAGACACGAAAGCUAGGGUAGCAAACGGGGAUUAGAGACCCCGGUAGUCCUAGCUGUAAACGAUGUGAACUUGGCGUCGGCGGGUUCAAAGCCGUCGGGUGCCGAAGCUAACGCGAUAAGUUCACCGCCUGGGGACUACGGGCCGCAAGGUUAAAACUCAAAGGAAUUGACGGGUCCCCGCACAAGCAGCGGGAGCGUGUGGUUUAAUUCGAUGUUACACGAAGAACCUUACCCAGGCUUGACAUGUUGGUGGUAGGGAAGCGAAAGCAGACCGACCCGCAAGGGAGCCUUCACAGGUGUUGCAUGGCUGUCGUCAGCUCGUGUCGUGAGAUGUUCGGUUAAGUCCGCCAACGAGCGCAACCCUCGCCGUAUGUUACAAGUGUCAUACGGGACCGCCGGUAUCAAGCCGGAGGAAGGUGGGGAUGACGUCAAGUCAGCAUGGCCUUUAUGCCUGGGGCUACACACACGCUACAAUGGCCGGUACAAUGGGUCGCUAAGCCGCGAGGUAGAGCCAAUCCCUAAAGCCGGUCUCAGUUCAGAUCACAGGCUGCAACCCGCCUGUGUGAAGUCGGAGUUGCUAGUAAACGCGCGUCAGCUAUAGUGCGUUGAAUACGUUCCCGGGGAUUGUACACACCGCCCGUCACGUCAUGGGAGCUGGCAACACCUGAAGCCGGUAGCCUAACCGCAAGGAGGGCGCCGUCGAAGGUGGGGUUGGUGACUGGACGGUCGUAACAAGGUAA